rnacentral:lncRNA from 1 species
AUGUCUGACUCUGGGGGUUGGUGCUCAUCUCCAUUUCUAAGCCCAAGAGCCAGUGUUGUCCAUAGACACCUCCAAGGUCAUGUGGCCGGCAUGACUACAUGGAGUGCCAUUACCUUCCCAGAAACACCCAGAAAAUGGGAAUUCCAGACAGGAAACAAUCAGGGCCAGCUAACAAUCAGGGCCACAGACAGUAGAAGCACAUAA